rfam:Schistosoma mansoni strain Puerto Rico chromosome 3, complete genome
AUCCAUCUGACAAGUUCCAAAUAGGACGAAACGCGCGUCCUGGAU